rnacentral:rRNA from 1 species
UACAGAGGGGGCAAGCGUUGUUCGGAAUUAGUGGGCGUAAAGGGCGCGUAGGCGGCCUUCUAAGUCAGACGUGAAAUCCCUCGGCUCAACCGGGGAACUGCGUCUGAGACUGGAAGGCUUGAAUCCGGGAGAGGGAUGUGGAAUUCCAGGUGUAGCGGUGAAAUGCGUAGAUAUCGGGAGGAACAUCAGUUGCGAAGGCGGCUCUCUGGACCAGUACUGACGCUGAGGCACGAAAGCGUGGGGAGCAAACAGG